rnacentral:ncRNA from 2 species
CCACUCACAAAGGGGAGCCAAUUUGGCUGAGAUUGAGGAAACUCUAAACCCUUCGUACCUGUAUCGGUUAUGCGAGCGUAGGAAUUGUGAAGUAUGAGAAG